rnacentral:rRNA from 12 species
CCCUGGUCAUGCCCAUCAUUGUCCACCCUCAGGAGGCAAGGAGGGUCGGGCCUGGUUAGUACUUGGAUGGGAAACUGCCUCAGAAUACCAAGUGCUGCAGGGA